rnacentral:rRNA from 1 species
CCUACGGGUGGCAGCAGUGGGGGAUAUUGCACAAUGGGGGAAACCCUGAUGCAGCGACGCCGCGUGUGGGAAGACGGUCCUCUGGAUUGUAAACCACUUUCCCCAGGGACGAAGAUGACGGUACCUGGGGAGGAAGCUCCUGCUAACUACGUGCCAGCAGCCGCGGUAAUACGCAGGGAGCGAGCGUUUUCCGGAGUUACUGGGGGUAAGGGGAGCGUAGGCGGGCCGGCAAGUGGGAGGUAAAAUCUCCCGGCUCAACCGGUAGCCGCACUCGAAACUGGAGUUCUUGAGUGAAGUAGAGGCAGGCGGAAGGCCUGGUGUAGCGGUGAAAUGCGUAGAUAUUAGGAGGAACACCAGUGGCGAAGGCGGCCUGCCGGGCUUAUACUGACGCUGAGGCUCGAAAGUGUGGGGAGCAAACAGGAUUAGAUACCCGGGUAGUC